rnacentral:rRNA from 1 species
GACGAACGCUGGCGGCGUGCUUAACACAUGCAAGUCGAACGGAAAGGCCCUGCUUUUGUGGGGUGCUCGAGUGGCGAACGGGUGAGUAACACGUGAGUAACCUGCCCUUGACUUUGGGAUAACUUCAGGAAACUGGGGCUAAUACCGGAUAGGAGCUCCUGCUGCAUGGUGGGGGUUGGAAAGUUUCGGCGGUUGGGGAUGGACUCGCGGCUUAUCAGCUUGUUGGUGGGGUAGUGGCUUACCAAGGCUUUGACGGGUAGCCGGCCUGAGAGGGUGACCGGCCACAUGGGGAUUGAGAUACGGCCCAGACUCCUACGGGAGGCAGCAGUGGGGAAUAUUGCACAAGGGGCGGAAGCCUGAUGCAGCAACGCCGCGUGCGGGAUGAGGGCCUUCGGUUUGAAAACCGCUUUCGCCUGGGACGAAGCGGGAGUGAGGGUAAUGGGUAAAGAAGCACCGGCUAACUACGUG